GUGGUAGGGGAGCGUUCUUAUUGCAUAGAAGUCGUACCGAAAGGAGCGGUGGAGCGAUAAGAAGUGAGAAUGCCGGUAUGAGUAGCGAAAAGACAAGUGAGAAUCUUGUCCGCCGAAAACCUAAGGUUUCCUGAGGAAGGCUCGUCCGCUCAGGGUUAGUCGGGACCUAAGCUGAGGCCGAAAGGCGUAGGCGAUGGACAACAGGUUGAAAUUCCUGUACUACCUUUCCUCCGUUUGAACGAUGGGGGGACGCAGAAGGAUAGGGGAAGCGUGCUAUUGGAAAUGCACGUCCAAGCGGUGAGGCUGAGUCUAUAGGCAAAUCCGUAGACUCAAGGCUAGGCCGUGAUGGCGAGGGAAAAAUAAAGUACCGAAGUCCCUGAUUUCAUACUGCCAAGAAAAGCCUCUAGUGAGGAGGAAGGUACCCGUACCGUAAACCGACACAGGUGGGUGAGGAGAGAAUCCUAAGGCGCUCGGGAGAACUCUCGUUAAGGAACUCGGCAAAAUGACCCCGUAACUUCGGGAGAAGGGGUGCCUCGAUAGGGUGAAAGCCCGAGGAGGCCGCAGUGAAUAGGCCCAAGCGACUGUUUAGCAAAAACACAGGUCUCUGCAAAGCCGCAAGGCGAAGUAUAGGGGCUGACGCCUGCCCGGUGCUGGAAGGUUAAGGGGAGAGGUUAGUGACAUUAAGUGACGAAGCUUUGAACCGAAGCCCCAGUAAACGGCGGCCGUAACUAUAACGGUCCUAAGGUAGCGAAAUUCCUUGUCAGGUAAGUUCUGACCCGCACGAAUGGCGUAACGAUUUGGGCACUGUCUCAACGAGAGACCCGGUGAAAUUGUAAUACCUGUGAAGAUGCAGGUUACCCGCGACAAGACGGAAAGACCCCAUGGAGCUUUACUGUAGCCUGAUAUUGGAUUUUGGUACGAUUUGUACAGGAUAGGUGGGAGCCAUAGAAGCCGGACCGCCAGGUUCGGUGGAGGCAACGGUGGGAUACCACCCUGAUCGUAUUGAAAUUCUAACCUACAUCCCUAAACGGGAUGAGGGACCGUGUCAGGUGGGCAGUUUGACUGGGGCGGUCGCCUCCUAAAGAGUAACGGAGGCGCCCAAAGGUUCCCUCAGAAUGGUUGGAAAUCAUUCGCAGAGUGUAAAGGCAGAAGGGAGCUUGACUGCGAGACAUACAAGUCGAGCAGGGACGAAAGUCGGGCUUAGUGAUCCGGUGGUUCCGCAUGGAAGGGCCAUCGCUCAACGGAUAAAAGCUACCCUGGGGAUAACAGGCUUAUCUCCCCCAAGAGUCCACAUCGACGGGGAGGUUUGGCACCUCGAUGUCGGCUCAUCGCAUCCUGGGGCUGAAGUAGGUCCCAAGGGUUGGGCUGUUCGCCCAUUAAAGCGGUACGCGAGCUGGGUUCAGAACGUCGUGAGACAGUUCGGUCCCUAUCUGUCGCGGGCGUAGGAAAUUUGAGAGGAGCUGUCCUUAGUACGAGAGGACCGGGAUGGACACACCGCUGGUGUACCAGUUGUGCCGCCAGGCGCAUCGCUGGGUAGCUAAGUGUGGAAGGGAUAAGCGCUGAAAGCAUCUAAGCGUGAAGCCCCCCUCAAGAUGAGAUUUCCCAUGGAGUUAGUCCAGUAAGACCCCUUAAAGAUGAUAAGGUUGAUAGGUCCGGUGUGGAAGUACCGUAAGGUAUGGAGCUGACGGAUACUAAUCGGUCGAGGGCUUAACC
rnacentral:rRNA from 1 species